rnacentral:piRNA from 1 species
UGUGCAAAAGAUUAAUGAUAUGAAUGUGG